rnacentral:lncRNA from 1 species
GGUACGGGGAGACCUAAAUCGUGACUUGAUUUUCCCUUUGAUUAGAAGGCGAAACUAGCGUGCUAAGGCUAUCGAGUAGCCACACUCGCUCGUUUCCCUUAUCGGAAGGGGACACUCAAGCAAAUGGACCCUACAACUAUCAUGAUAUGCAAAAAUCCUAAAAUGAAGGGAAAGGGGGUUCGAGGAGCAUGCCAAGUGAUAAAACUAAGAAAAAUGCAUGAUAUGUGGUGA